rnacentral:rRNA from 1 species
UCGCACGAUGAUCAGGAGCUUGCUCCUGUGAUUAGUGGCGAACGGGUGAGUAACACGUGAGUAACCUGCCCCUGACUCUGGGAUAAGCGUUGGAAACGACGUCUAAUACUGGAUAUGAUCACUGGCCGCAUGGUCUGGUGGUGGAAAGAUUUUUUGGUUGGGGAUGGACUCGCGGCCUAUCAGCUUGUUGGUGAGGUAAUGGCUCACCAAGGCGACGACGGGUAGCCGGCCUGAGAGGGUGACCGGCCACACUGGGACUGAGACACGGCCCAGACUCCUACGGGAGGCAGCAGUGGGGAAUAUUGCACAAUGGGCGAAAGCCUGAUGCAGCAACGCCGCGUGAGGGAUGACGGCCUUCGGGUUGUAAACCUCUUUUAGUAGGGAAGAAGCGAAAGUGACGGUACCUGCAGAAAAAGCACCGGCUAACUACGUGCCAGCAGCCGCGGUAAUACGUAGGGUGCAAGCGUUGUCCGGAAUUAUUGGGCGUAAAGAGCUCGUAGGCGGUUUGUCGCGUCUGCUGUGAAAUCCCGAGGCUCAACCUCGGGCUUGCAGUGGGUACGGGCAGACUAGAGUGCGGUAGGGGAGAUUGGAAUUCCUGGUGUAGCGGUGGAAUGCGCAGAUAUCAGGAGGAACACCGAUGGCGAAGGCAGAUCUCUGGGCCGUAACUGACGCUGAGGAGCGAAAGCGUGGGGAGCGAACAGGAUUAGAUACCCUGGUAGUCCACGCCGUAAACGUUGGGCGCUAGAUGUAGGGACCUUUCCACGGUUUCUGUGUCGUAGCUAACGCAUUAAGCGCCCCGCCUGGGGGAGUACGGGCCGCAAGGCUAAAACUCAAAAGGAAUUUGACGGGGGGCCCGCACAAAGCGGGCGGAGCAUGCCGGAUUAAUUCCGAUGCAACGCCGAAGAACCUUUACCAAAGGCUUUGACAUACACCCGGAAACGGGCCAGAAGAUGGGCCGCCCCCCUUUGUGGUCGGGUGUACAAGGUGGUUGCAUGGGUUGUCCGUCAAGCUCCGUGUCCUGGAGAUUGUUGGGGUUAAAGUCCCCGCAACCGAGCGGCAACCCCUCCGUUCCUAUUGUUUGCCAGCCGCCGUUAUUGGCGGGGGACUCCAUAAGGAAAACUUGCCGGGGGUCCAACUUCCGGAAAGAAAGGUGGGG